UGCAGUGCAGUAUUGCAGUACAGAUAAGCCCAGGGACUGAUGAGAAUCGACCUCCUCCAAGCCAGCGGUCAGCAUGCAGCUGCUCUCUCCCCUCCACCUCCUCUCCAUGCACUGCCUCAAUUCCUGGACAUUUAACGGAGGACCAGGGUGAAGGACGAAGAGAAAAGACACCUCUCUCUCUGCAUAGCGACACAUUGCCUACCGCUAUGAGAGAGGUGUUUGGGGAUGGAGAAGGAGCAGGUGUGAGGUGCAGCCCACCACAGCCAGCGACUGACUGCACGCUGUUCAGCAUUCAGUUUGCCACAGUUCAACAGCUGGUUACUGAAGCCACAUUUUGCUUCUUAGCUUAUCCGUAGGGUGGCCUAGCACCCCCAGCAUGAGGUGGCCUCGGAAUGGAGAAGGAGCACUUGUGACAUGCAAACGGAAAACACGGCUGUGUGUCCUCAUGAACUCUGGCACCAUGUGGCUUCUGGCUCCUCCCCAAGUCCAAAUGGCCAGGAAAGGUAAAUGUUUUUGAUCGAUUCAGGACACUGUGGCAGCCACUACAGCAGAAGGAAAGACGUGGGCCGUAGUUUCCCAGCCUCCCUGCUCCUGUUCCUCACACGGAGUCUUCUCAGUCCUGCUGGGGACCUGAGGCUGACAGCUGGUGUCAGCCUGGAAGGGGAGUGAGGCGGGGUGGGGUGGAAGGAAACCUGCAGCCACGCUGGGACCCACUCUUCAGUCUCCUGGUCUUGCCCUUCAGGGCGCUCCACGGGCAUCGAUUCCAGUUUCUUUCACAACCCUAAAGUGUGUGCUUAUGAAAAAUCACGUGGCAAACUUGAUGGGUAAACUGGUCAAUGACCCAGCCUGAGUUUGAUACAAAGUCCAGUGCAACCCAGCCAACCACCAAGGCCUGGUGUCUGGGGAAGAUGCGUUGCAGGCUUUUAAAUAAAUAGAGAAAUAGGAUCUACAAAAGAAUCCAACUCUAUCCUCUCCCUUCAAUCUUCUCUGUGCUGAAAAAUAAGAAAGAAAAACAAACAAGUUUGUUCCUAAUACUUAAAGCCUUCCUGUAAAACAAACUGCUGGUGACAGUGCUGGUGCCUGUGUCCUCUGACUCAGCCGGGGCUUUCAUACGUCUGGCUCCUGCAGACUCCUUUGUGUCUUCUGAACUGAAUGCAAGGAUGUUGGAUCCUGGAGGCAGCUGUCUCUCUUCCAAGUUAAAGAAUCUCCUUCCCUGGGGUCUUGCCUGCUCCAGCUCCCCACUUUUCCCUGUUAGAAUCGGCUACUCUUGCUGUAGGACACGGUCCCCGAGCUCAGUGACUUAGUGGAGAAGGACCUCUCUCGCUACUCCCCCACCCAACUGCCUGGAAAUCCCAGGAAGCAAAGCCCUCUCUUCAAUCACAGAAAGACUACUUAGUGCUGCCUUUGAGCCUUCAUUUUAAUUUUCACUUAAAUGCAUUAAAACUCCACGAUCUGUGGUCUGGCUUUUCUUUUAAGUAUUCGAGGCUAUUUGAGAUUUAAAGAAUAA